AGUGAACGCUGGCGGUAGGCCUAACACAUGCAAGUCGAACGGCAGCACAGUAAGAGCUUGCUCUUACGGGUGGCGAGUGGCGGACGGGUGAGGAAUACAUCGGAAUCUACUUUUUCGUGGGGGAUAACGUAGGGAAACUUACGCUAAUACCGCAUACGACCUACGGGUGAAAGCAGGGGAUCUUCGGACCUUGCGCGAUUGAAUGAGCCGAUGUCGGAUUAGCUAGUUGGCGGGGUAAAGGCCCACCGAGGCGACGAUCCGUAGCUGGUCUGAGAGGAUGAUCAGCAACACUGGAACUGAGACACGGUCCAGACUCCUACGGGAGGCAGCAGUGGGGAAUAUUGGACAAUGGGCGCAAGCCUGAUCCAGCCAUACCGCGUGGGUGAAGAAGGCCUUCGGGUUGUAAAGCCCUUUUGUUGGGAAAGAAAAGCAGCAGGUUAAUACCCCGCUGUUCUGACGGUACCCAAAGAAUAAGCACCGGCUAACUUCGUG
rnacentral:rRNA from 1 species